rnacentral:rRNA from 1 species
CCUACGGGAGGCUGCAGUGAGGAAUAUUGGUCAAUGGGCGCGAGCCUGAACCAGCCAAGUCGCGUGAGGGAAGACGGUCCUAUGGAUUGUAAACCUCUUUUGUCGGGGAGCAAAAGACGCCACGCGUGGCGUUCCGAGAGUACCCGACGAACAAGCAUCGGCUAACUCCGUGCCAGCAGCCGCGGUAAUACGGAGGAUGCGAGCGUUAUCCGGAUUUAUUGGGUUUAAAGGGUGCGCAGGCGGAAGAUCAAGUCAGCGGUAAAAUUGAGAGGCUCAACCUCUUCGAGCCGUUGAAACUGGUGUUCUUGAGUGAGUGAGAAGUAGGCGGAAUGCGUGGUGUAGCGGUGAAAUGCAUAGAUAUCACGCAGAACUCCGAUUGCGAAGGCAGCAUACCGGCGCUCAACUGACGCUCAUGCACGAAAGUGUGGGUAUCGAACAGGAUUAGAUACCCUUGUAGUC